UAACGAAUCUUCCGCAAUGGGCGCAAGCCUGACGGAGCAAUGCCGCGUGUGGGAUGAAGCGUCUCUGACGUGUAAACCACUGUCAGGGGUUAGAAACAAUGAUCAACCCCAAAGGAAGUGGCGACUAACUCUGUGCCAGCAGUCGCGGUAAUACAGAGGCCACAAGCGUUAGUCGGAAUCACUGGGCUUAAAGGGUGCGUAGGCUGGUCCGCAAGCGUCUUGUGAAAGCCCUCGGCUCAACCGAGGAACAGCAGGGCGAACUGCGGAUCUUGAGGCAGGUAGGGGUCGCGAGAACAGUAGGUGGAGCGGUGAAAUGCGUAGAUAUCUACUGGAAUGCCGAUGGUGAAGACGCGCGACUGGGCCUGUCCUGACGCUGAGGCACGAAAGCGUGGGGAGCAAACAGGAUUAGAUACCCCAGUAGUCCCUGAGCGGGCUGGCAAGGCGCAU
rnacentral:rRNA from 1 species